rnacentral:rRNA from 1 species
CCUACGGGAGGCAGCAGUGGGGAAUUUUGGACAAUGGGCGCAAGCCUGAUCCAGCAAUGCCGCGUGAGUGAAGAAGGCCUUCGGGUUGUAAAGCUCUUUUGUCAGGGAAGAAACGGUCUACUCUAAUACAGUGGGCUAAUGACGGUACCUGAAGAAUAAGCACCGGCUAACUACGUGCCAGCAGCCGCGGUAAUACGUAGGGUGCAAGCGUUAAUCGGAAUUACUGGGCGUAAAGCGUGCGCAGGCGGUUAUAUAAGUCAGAUGUGAAAUCCCCGGGCUCAACCUGGGAACUGCAUUUGAGACUGUAUGGCUAGAGUGUGUCAGAGGGGGGUAGAAUUCCACGUGUAGCAGUGAAAUGCGUAGAUAUGUGGAGGAAUACCGAUGGCGAAGGCAGCCCCCUGGGAUAACACUGACGCUCAUGCACGAAAGCGUGGGGAGCAAACAGGAUUAGAUACCCUGGUAGUCCACGCCCUAAACGAUGUCUACUAGUUGUCGGGACUUAAUUGUCUUGGUAACGCAGCUAACGCGUGAAGUAGACCGCCUGGGGAUACGGUCGCAAGAUUAAAACUUAAAGGAAUUGACGG